GGACACAUAGCUCAGCGGUAGAGCAAUCGGCUGUUAACCGAUUGGUCGUAGGUUCAAUCCCUACUGUGUCCGCCA
rnacentral:tRNA from 1 species